GCGGUGUGACGGUGCUCUGACUCCCUAACGCUACUGGAGUUGAUGUUGGGUGAUUUUGGGCGCGAGCCGUCGACCACUGUUCGCCAUUGCAGGCAUGACAAGGUAACUGACAGAGUGAGAAGUUGCGCAAUCUUCAGGAAGUUCCACAUGUCUUUGUUAAACCCUGUUUAACAAACAUAGUCCACUGCCGUAUUUUGCACCGUAUUUUGUAUUUUGUAUUUAUUAUUUUCUUUUCAAAAUCUUUUCUGUUAAACUUGCCACAUCUGUGCACAUUUAUGAGCUGUUUGCU